GAUGAACGCUGGCGGCGUGCCUAAUACAUGCAAGUCGAGCGAACAGACGAGGAGCUUGCUCCUCUGACGUUAGCGGCGGACGGGUGAGUAACACGUGGAUAACCUACCUAUAAGACUGGGAUAACUUCGGGAAACCGGAGCUAAUACCGGAUAAUAUAUUGAACCGCAUGGUUCAAUAGUGAAAGACGGUUUUGCUGUCACUUAUAGAUGGAUCCGCGCCGCAUUAGCUAGUUGGUAAGGUAACGGCUCACCAAGGCAACGAUGCGUAGCCGACCUGAGAGGGUGAUCGGCCACACUGGAACUGAGACACGGUCCAGACUCCUACGGGAGGCAGCAGUAGGGAAUCUUCCGCAAAGGGCGAAAGCUUGACGGAGCAACGCCGCGUGAGUGAUGAAGGUCUUCGGAUCGUAAAACUCUGUUAUUAGGGAAGAACAAAUGUGUAAGUAACUAUGCACGUCUUGACGGUACCUAAUCAGAAAGCCACGGCUAACUACGUG
rnacentral:rRNA from 1 species